rnacentral:piRNA from 1 species
UCCUAAAGCAGCCGUGUUGGCAGGUUCUUG